rnacentral:rRNA from 1 species
CACUCUAAGGUGCUGAGACACGGCCCAGACUCCUACGGGAGGCAGCAGUAGGGAAUCUUCCGCAAUGGACGAAAGUCUGACGGAGCAACGCCGCGUGAGCGAUGAAGGCCUUCGGGUCGUAAAGCUCUGUUGUUAGGGAAGAACAAGUGCUAGUUGAAUAAGCUGGCACCUUGACGGUACCUAACCAGAAAGCCACGGCUAACUACGUGCCAGCAGCCGCGGUAAUACGUAGGUGGCAAGCGUUGUCCGGAAUUAUUGGGCGUAAAGCGCGCGCAGGCGGUAACUUAAGUCUGAUGUGAAAGCCCCCGGCUCAACCGGGGACCGGUCAUUGGUAACUGGGAAACUUGAGUGCAGAAGAGGAAAGUGGAAUUCCAAGUGUAGCGGUGAAAUGCGUAGAGAUUUGGAGGAACAGCAGUGGCGAAGGCGACUUUCUGGUCUGUAACUGAGGCUGAGGCGCGAAAGCGUGGGGAGCAAACAGGAUUAGAUACCCUGGUAGUCCACGCUGUAAACGAUGAGUGCUAAGUGUUAGAGGGUUUCCGCCCUUUAGUGCUGAAGUUAACGCAUUAAGCACUCCGCCUGGGGAGGCAUGC